rnacentral:rRNA from 1 species
AUUGAACGCUGGCGGCAGGCCUAACACAUGCAAGUCGAGCGGUAGAGAGGUGCUUGCAUCUCUUGAGAGCGGCGGACGGGUGAGUAAUGCCUAGGAAUCUGCCUAGUGGUGGGGGAUAACGUUCGGAAACGGACGCUAAUACCGCAUACGUCCUACGGGAGAAAGCGGGGGAUCUUCGGACCUCGCGCCAUUAGAUGAGCCUAGGUCGGAUUAGCUAGUUGGUGAGGUAAUGGGCUCACCAAGCCGACGAUCUGUAGCUGGUCUGAGAGGACGACCAGCCACACUGGGACUGAGACCACGGCCCAGACUCCUACGGGAGGCAGCAGU